rnacentral:rRNA from 1 species
UACGUAGGGUGCAAGCGUUAAUCGGAAUUACUGGGCGUAAAGCGUGCGCAGGCGGUUGUGCAAGACAGAUGUGAAAUCCCCGGGCUCAACCUGGGAACUGCAUUUGUGACUGCACGGCUAGAGUGUGUCAGAGGGGGGUAGAAUUCCACGUGUAGCAGUGAAAUGCGUAGAGAUGUGGAGGAAUACCGAUGGCGAAGGCAGCCCCCUGGGUCAAGAUUGACGCUCAUGCACGAAAGCGUGGGGGAGCAAACAGG